rnacentral:rRNA from 1 species
UAGCGGAGCGUGUGGUUUAAUUCGAUGCAACACGAAGAACCUUACCAGGGCUUGACAUGUUGGAAGUAGUGAAACGAAAGUCGAACGAACUGUUAAAUCAGUAACCUUCACAGGUGCUGCAUGGCUGUCGUCAGCUCGUGCCGUGAGGUGUCGGGUUAAGUCCCAUAACGAGCGCAACCCCUGUUGCCAGUUAAUUUCUCUGGCGAGACUGCCCCGCAAAACGGGGAGGAAGGCGGGGAUGACGUCAAGUCAGUAUGGCCCUUAUGCCCUGGGCCACACACACGCUACAAUGGAUGGUACAGCAGGUUGCAAUGGAGCGAUCCGGAGCUAAUCCUUAAAACCAUCCUCAGUUCGGAUUGCAGGCUGAAACUCGCCUGCAUGAAGUCGGAGUUGCUAGUAACCGCAUAA